AGCGUAGGCGGAAAUUUAAGUUAAGUGUGAAAGCCUGGGGCUUAACUCCAGAAAUGCACUUAAUACUGGAUAUCUAGAGUGUGGGAGAGGUAAGUGGAAUUCCUAGUGUAGCGGUAAAAUGCGUAGAGAUUAGGAGGAACACCAGAGGCGAAGGCGGCUUACUGGACCACAACUGACGCUGAGGCUCGAAAGCGUGGGGAGCAAACAG
rnacentral:rRNA from 1 species